ACAAUUUUCAAGUUUAAUAUUAGAUACUUACCUACCAGUAUAAUGUUUGUUUACAUAAAUAAAGAGCGAUUGUUCAGAUUAAUACACAUUAGAAUAAUACACGGGUAAAAACGAUCAAGCCAACGACAAAAUUAAACAUUUGGGAGCCCUAAAACAAUAUAUAAAUUUGGAACCCCCUCAAAAAUUAUAAUUUUUUCGAACAAUCCAAGUUACAGAACUUCCUUCCCUCAAUAAAUCUGUUUUUAAGUUUUACGCAAUUAUUGUAAAAUAUGCCACACAGAUAAAUGG